GACGAACGCUGGCGGCGUGCUUAACACAUGCAAGUCGAACGGUAAGGCCCUUCGGGGUACACGAGUGGCGAACGGGUGAGUAACACGUGGGUGAUCUGCCCUGCACUUCGGGAUAAGCCUGGGAAACUGGGGCUAAUACCGGAUAGGACUCCUGCCAGCAUGGGUGGGGGUGGAAAGCUUUUGCGGUGUGGGAUGGGCCCGCGGCGGAUCAGCUUGUUGGUGGGGUGAUGGCCUACCAAGGCGACGACGGGUAGCCGGCCUGAGGGGGUGACCGGCCACACUGGGACUGAGAUACGGCCCAGACUCCUACGGGAGGCAGCAGUGGGGAAUAUUGCACAAUGGGCGCAAGCCUGAUGCAGCGACGCCGCGUGAGGGAUGACGGCCUUCGGGUUGUAAACCUCUUUCAGCACAGACGAAGCGCAAGUGACGGUAUGUGCAGAAGAAGGACCGGCCAACUACGUGCCAGCAGCCGCCGUAA
rnacentral:rRNA from 1 species